rnacentral:lncRNA from 1 species
UAUGUAUCAAUUCAAUAUAUUUUAGUUUUUGUUAUUGGUGUAUCAAAAACACUGAUGUACGAAUAUCAUUUCAUAAAUGUGAAAUGUUUAAAAUGAUUAAAUACCAAUAUAAAGAACCGUUCAUCAUUUUUGAAAAAGACUACAAAUGAAAGUCGAAUUAUUUAUCUUCCCGUCAUGAUAGAUUGAAAGGGAAAUUAACCAGAGUUAUCUAAUAUCAAACACAGAGAGGGACUAGCAAGCAAUUUUUAAUUAUAGCUUAUUUAACGUUAAAACAAUUUUACACUAUAAACAAUUGUUACUUUAAACAAAUAUAAGGACUUUGUUAGCUAAAUCUACAAACUUUAUCAGAUUUGAUGAAUUUUUGUUACAA